rnacentral:misc_RNA from 1 species
CCAAAGAGGAGCCUCCUCUGCGCCCAUCGGGUGGCUUUGGAGCGCAUCCCAACCCACACUUUGUGAACCGUUGCUGUCUCUGGCGGGGUCUCUCCUUAGCUGAAUGCCUCUGGUGAGGCUUGGCGGGGGGUUUGGUCGGGGGCGGCGCCCAUAGUUUUUGGGCGCUUAGCCCUGCCUGUCAUGGGCAACGGCACCCGUCCUUUUUUUAACCUAAGCGUAAACCAAUGGGUCUGAACCUGUUUCAUGUUAUUAAUGAAGCAA